CCUUGCCAGCCCGCUCAAGAAACUCAAAGGAAUUGACGGGGGCCCGCACAAGCAGCGGAGCGUGUGGUUUAAUUCGAUGCUACACGAAGAACCUUACCCGGGUUUGACAUGCAAGUGGUAGUGAUCCGAAAGGUGAACGACCCGCAAGGGAGCUUGCACAGGUGUUGCAUGGCUGUCGUCAAGCUCGUGUCGUGAGAUGUUCGGUUAAGUCCGCUAACGAGCGCAACCCUCGCUGUAUGUUACAUGUGUCAUACAGGACCGCCGGUAUCAAGCCGGAGGAAGGUGGGGAUGACGUCAAGUCCGCAUGGCCUUUAUGUCCGGGGCUACACACACGCUACAAUGGUCGGUACAAUGGGUUGCUAAGCCGCGAGGUGGAGCCAAUCCCCCAAAGCCGGCCUCAGUUCAGAUUGCAGGCUGCAACUCGCCUGCAUGAAGCUGGAGUUGCUAGUAAACGCGCGUCAGCUAUAGUGCGUUGAAUACGUUCUCGGGCCUU
rnacentral:rRNA from 1 species